rnacentral:rRNA from 1 species
CCUACGGGUGGCAGCAGUGAGGAAUAUUGGUCAAUGGCCGGAAGGCUGAACCAGCCAAGCCGCGUGAAGGACGAAGGUGCCAAGCAUUGUAAACUUCUUUUGUCAAGGGACAAAAUCAGGCUCGAGAGCCUGACCGAGGGUACUUGAAGAAAAAGCAUCGGCUAACUCCGUGCCAGCAGCCGCGGUAAUACGGAGGAUGCGAGCGUUAUCCGGAUUUAUUGGGUUGAAAGGGUGCGUAGGCGGGCUGUUAAGUCAGCGGUAAAAUUCCGGGGCUCAACCCCGGCGAGCCGUUGAAACUGGCUGUGUUGAGAUGUCGAGAGGUAUGCGGAAUGCGCAGUGUAGCGGUGAAAUGCUUAGAUAUUGCGCAGAACUCCGAUUGCGAAGGCAGCAUACCGGCGGCGAUCUGACGCUGAGGCACGAAAGCGUGGGUAUCGAACAGGAUUAGAUACCCUGGUAGUC